rnacentral:rRNA from 1 species
AUUGAACGCUGGCGGCAGGCCUAACACAUGCAAGUCGAGCGGCAGCGACUUAACUGAACCUUCGGGGAACGUUAAGGGCGGCGAGCGGCGGACGGGUGAGUAAUGCCUGGGAAUAUGCCCUGAUGUGGGGGAUAACUAUUGGAAACGAUAGCUAAUACCGCAUAAUCUCUUCGGAGCAAAGAGGGGGACCUUCGGGCCUCUCGCGUCAGGAUUAGCCCAGGUGGGAUUAGCUUGUUGGUGAGGUAAUGGCUCACCAAGGCAACGAUCCCUAGCUGGUCUGAGAGGAUGAUCAGCCACACUGGAACUGAGACACGGUCCAGACUCCUACGGGAGGCAGCAGUGGGGAAUAUUGCACAAUGGGGGAAACCCUGAUGCAGCCAUGCCGCGUGUGUGAAGAAGGCCUUCGGGUUGUAAAGCACUUUCAGUAGGGAGGAAGGUAGUGCAGUUAACACCUGCAUUAUUUGACGUUACCUACAGAAGAAGCACCGGCUAACUCCGUGCCAGCAGCCGCGGUAAUACGGAGGGUGCGAGCGUUAAUCGGAAUUACUGGGCGUAAAGCGCAUGCAGGCGGCCUGUUAAGUCAGAUGUGAAAGCCCGGGGCUUAACCUCGGAAUUGCAUUUGAAACUGGCAGGCUAGAGUCUUGUAGAGGGGGGUAGAAUUUCAGGUGUAGCGGUGAAAUGCGUAGAGAUCUGAAGGAGUACCAGUGGCGAAGGCGGCCCCUGGACAAAGACUGACGCUCAGAUGCGAAAGCGUGGGGAGCAAACAGG